GUUGUAUCUUGGAUUCUUGGUUUCUGCAAUUCUUACCCUGUAAGUUCGAUAAUGAGACGGUACACUGGUCCUGCAAGGACAUCGGUUCCACACUUCUUCCUCGCAUCUUUUUUAUAAGCAAUGCAAUGAUUUUUCAUGGCUAUUUAAUAAAAAAAAAAAAGAAAGAAAGAAAAGCCAGCCCUUGUGAUUGUGAAGAAUCUUUGCGUUUCUGGUUAAAAACUCCGUUAGUAGUCAAUUAAUAAUGAAAAUAAACGCAGCGUAAAUUUACGAGAUUUCGCCAAAUUUCGGGCUGAUUCUGCGCCCUUUUCAACUCUCGCCUCUCUACCAUUAUGCUUCCUUACCUUUCUCCCAUCGUCUGCCUCCAAAAUCCUCUCUUUCUGCUUUCUCUGCUGCCGUCAUCAUCAUAUCAAUGAUUAGAUUGGGUGGUCAGGGCUCGAGAUUGUUGUAGUUGGUUUUAGCAAUUAUGACCAAUUCCUUGCGAAAACCUUGAUUUGGCAGGGCC
rnacentral:misc_RNA from 1 species